rnacentral:lncRNA from 1 species
AGUCGAUGCCUGAAAGAAUGAUGUUGAUUGAAACAAAGCAAAGAUGCGUCUGGCUGACAAUGUCCUAGGGGAAGCCUGGACGCAAACUAGUGCAGUUGCUGCCGCUCAGCCUGGAACACCAGCUCCUCCUCUCACCUCCUCUUUGGCUGGCGCCUCUUUGCUCUGACUUCUGCCACUUGGGCUGCCUGUGCUGCUCCUUGCACCUGUUCAGCUGACGUUUUAACCCCUCCUCGCUGGGUCCUCAUCACCCGACUCAUUUGGUGCUGUCUCUGCCAUCAGGACCUCCACUGCAGCUAGUGGUGUAUCAGUCACUGUCUCUUAUAAAGGCUUCACACUUGAAAGGUCAGGAAAGACUAUC